UACGUAGGGGGCGAGCGUUGUCCGGAUUUAUUGGGCGUAAAGAGCGUGUAGGCGGUUCGGUAAGUCUGUCGUGAAAUCCUGAGGCUCAACCUCGGGCGUGCGAUGGAUACUGCCGGGCUAGAGGAUGGUAGAGGCGAGUGGAAUUCCCGGUGUAGCGGUGAAAUGCGCAGAUAUCAGGAAGAACACCCGUGGCGAAGGCGGCUCUCUGGAACGGUACUGACGCUGAGACGCGAAAGCGUGGGGAGCGAACAGG
rnacentral:rRNA from 1 species